rnacentral:rRNA from 1 species
UACGAAGGGGGCUAGCGUUGCUCGGAAUUACUGGGCGUAAAGGGCGCGUAGGCGGCCGAUCAAGUCAGGCGUGAAAUCCCCGGGCUCAACCUGGGAAUGGCGAUGGAUACUGGGCAGCUAGAGUGUGUCAGAGGAUGGUGGAAUUCCCGGUGUAGCGGUGAAAUGCGUAGAGAUCGGGAGGAACAUCAGUGGCGAAGGCGGCCAUCUGGGACAACACUGACGCUGAAGCACGAAAGCGUGGGGAGCAAACAGG